UGGGGAAUUUUGGACAAUGGGCGAAAGCCUGAUCCAGCAAUGCCGCGUGUGUGAAGAAGGCCUUCGGGUUGUAAAGCACUUUGUCCGGAAAGAAAUCCUUGGCUCUAAUACAGUCGGGGGAUGACGGUACCGGAAGAAUAAGCACCGGCUAACUACGUGCCAGCAGCCGCGGUAAUACGUAGGGUGCAAGCGUUAAUCGGAAUUACUGGGCGUAAAGCGUGCGCAGGCGGUUUGCUAAGACCGAUGUGAAAUCCCCGGGCUCAACCUGGGAACUGCAUUGGUGACUGGCAGGCUAGAGUAUGGCAGAGGGGGGUAGAAUUCCACGUGUAGCAGUGAAAUGCGUAGAGAUGUGGAGGAAUACCGAUGGCGAAGGCAGCCCCCUGGGCCAAUACUGACGCUCAUGCACGAAAGCGUGGGGAGCAAACAGGAUUCAGAUACCCUGGUAGUCCACGCCCUAAACGAUGUCAACUAGUUGUUGGGGAUUCAUUUCCUUAGUAACGUAGCUAACGCGUGAAGUUGACCGCCUGGGGAGUACGGUCGCAAGAUUAAAACUCAAAUGAAUUGACGGGGUCAUAGCUGUUUCCU
rnacentral:rRNA from 1 species